CCCACAAAAAAAAAAGGAAACAGAAGUGCAUAGUCACGUGGGUGGCACAUGCCCCACUUAAACCCCUUCCCCCUCCUUAUUCUCUCGAGCCUUCCCUGGUCCCUCCCUCUCUCUUUUAUUUUUAUUUUCUUCAUACAAAUCAAAACCAAACCCUCUCUUUUCCUUCAUCUCAUCUUCCAUUCCAUCUUCUUCAUUUCAAAAUCUUCAUCCAACCACAACACACCAGAUUUCAUUUUACCCUUUUAUUUUAUCUCUAUUUUAAUAUAUCAUCUAUAUCCAAAGUAAAUUUUUAUUUUUCACAACCCCAAAUCAAGAAGCUCAUACUAAUGAGUGAAGGAAGCAUUUAAAUUUGAGUUCCAAUUAUUAUUGAGACUUCAAGAGUUGUAGAACUAUUGGACAUCAUUUGGUAGCUCGUUGACGCGCUCAGAGUUGCUUCCGGUUCUUUUGAAUCAAGUUUAUGUUACAAGUGAUUUGGUUUGGAUUGGUUUGGGAGACUCUGACUAGAAACUCGUAGUUAACGGCGGUUAUGACGUUAACCUAGAUGCAUCUGGCUCAGACCUCAGCUAGCAGGGGCGUUGCUAACCUAACGUGUAGGCCACACGUUGGAUCUGUUAUACCGUACGGGCACA